UAUUCAGUGAUCAGACUCAGCUGUAACUGCAUAAUCAGGAACAAGUAAUGGUAGGCACCUGUGAGGUUGACCCCCUUGGAAUCCACUGUAGGUGCUCAGGGCUAAUGACUAGCAGAGUGAGACAGGUCCAGAUGCCUUGCCUCAGGACACGGUGCUAAAAUAUUGAAAGCCAAAUAGGUGGUGGGAGCUGUUGGAGGACAUGAACCAAAGGCUGUCCAGAUGGAGCAGGAUUCCAGGUGGGAGGAAGUUAGAGAUCUGAUCCUACUGAUGGGAGCCAAGAGGAGAUGAAGACUCCUAGAACAAGUAAAGCAAGCCCUCCAGACAAGAAAGAAAAUGUGAAUAAUGUUCCCUCUCUGCUUGGCUCAAGCUCUCAGCAACAUUGCUCUUGGUCAGUGUGAAACUGGAAGCCACCCUGGGUAAACAAGCCGUGCCAAUAUUCUACAGGCUAAUCAUAACUGCUUGAAGGACAAAAUAAAAUGUGAGAUGGUAGCUUGGUACCUACACAUUCAGCUCCUGCAUGCUUCCCUGCAUAAAAUCAGAGCUUCACUGUCUUAGGAAAAUGAUAGAGAUGGAGCAGCUUGGCCAUCCAGCAUUGAAGGCUGGUCUCCAUGGGGCUUUUGAAGUCUUUUGAAGGACUUCACUUCAAAAACGUUACUGUAGAUUCACUUCUUGAAUCAUAGAUGUCCUAAAAGAUGUGUCUCAAUUCUUACUGAUGCUUCUACACACCUAGCUUCCUGCUAUUUUUCUGCUGUGGACACUAAGACCUUACUUGUGCUUCUAAAGCAGUGUUUUUCUUCUCUAUUGGAUUCAUCUUCUAGGACUAGGCAAUCUGGAAGUCUUUUGGACCCGUCUGAACUUCUUGCUGCCUAUUCCAAGACAUCAUUAACAAAGGAGAGAUGUUUGUUAUUUGCAGUCUUUUGAGAUACAUCUUCAACAUUUAGAAGUAAAGCUAACUAGCUGGCAGCUUUUUGGAAAUGCUGUCCUGCAGGAACUUGGGUUUAUUAUUAUAUUUCAGUAAAAUGUGGUGAAAGCAGUACUUUGGCUGGAGCAGGAAAAAAAGUGACUUGUACAUGUGUCAUUGUGCACAUAUGGUUUUCCUGACUGCAUAACUAAAAAAAAGAAUGAGACCCAACACUGGACACAGAGACAGUCUGCUGAGUAAGGUGGUGAAGUCACCAUCAUUGGAAAUACUCAUCAGUAAGAUUUGGUCUGGGUUUAAUACAGGUAAAUGUGUUCCACGAGGAUGUAGAAUAAAGAACUGUAGAGAGGUUUUCCUUUCGCUCUAACACUUCUGUGGAAGUCUUUCUGGAAAGUGAAUUAGAUGGCAAACAGCACCAUGUGCUUAUGGUGUCACUGAAAAUAGCAGAGGGUAUUUGGUUUCUCUGAGAAACUAUGUGGUGAGCUAUGUGCACUGGAACUGCAGGGUUAUGGAGGACAGCAUUUGCUCAUCCCAAUGAGUCGCAAGACAUCUUUAUGUUGACAGAAAUGUUCCUUAUAUCCAUAGCCUAUAUGAUGUGUACUGAAUAGCUGUCUCUCUCAGAAGUCAGAGAGGUCUCUCAGAAGUCAGAGCUGUCUGUUCAUAAAUGUUUUCCAGUAGAGGAAGGAGAAAGUCUGGGUUGUCUGACUCACAUCAGUCUCCUCAUGACAAAUAAAGUGCAGAGAAAAUCCUGUGGACUUGGUGACUCUUACACUAAUGCAGUG